AUUGAACGCUGGCGGCAUGCCUUACACAUGCAAGUCGAACGGCAGCAUAGGAGCUUGCUCCUGAUGGCGAGUGGCGAACGGGUGAGUAAUAUAUCGGAACGUGCCCUAGGGUGGGGGAUAACUAGUCGAAAGACUAGCUAAUACCGCAUACGAUCUACGGAUGAAAGAGGGGGAUCGCAAGACCUCAUGCUCCUGGAGCGGCCGAUAUCUGAUUAGGUAGUUGGGGGGGUAAAAGCCUACCAAAGCAACUAUCAGUAGCUUGUCUGAGAGGAAGACCAGCCGACUCGGGGCCGAGGCACAGCACGAACUACUAUGGGAGGCAGAACAAGGGAGUUCAGGAUAAUGGGGGCAACGAGGGUCAAUCAAUGCCGCGGGAAGAGAGAAGGCAUUCGGUUAUUAAAGCUCUUUUGCAAGAAUAGAAACGGAAGUAGCGAAUAACUAUGACUAAUGACGGUACCUGAGGAAUAAGCACCGGCUAACUACGUGCCAGCAGCCGCCGGAA
rnacentral:rRNA from 1 species